rnacentral:rRNA from 1 species
GACGAACGCUGGCGGCGUGCUUAACACAUGCAAGUCGAGCGGUAAGGCCCUUUCGGGGGUACGACGAGCGGCGAACGGGUGAGUAACACGUGGGUGACCUGCCCUUAGCUCUGGGAUAAGCCUGGGAAACGUGGGUCUAAUACCGGAUAUGACUCCAUGACGCAUGUUGUGGGGUGGAAAGCCUUGUGCGGCUAGGGAUGGGCCUGCGGCCUAUCAGCUUGUUGGUGGGGUGAUGGCCUACCAAGGCGACGACGGGUAGCCGGCCUGAGAGGGCGACCGGCCACACUGGGACUGAGACACGGCCCAGACUCCUACGGGAGGCAGCAGUGGGGAAUCUUGCGCAAUGGGCGAAAGCCUGACGCAGCGACGCCGCGUGGGGA